GCAGCAGUGGGGAAUUUUGGACAAUGGGCGCAAGCCUGAUCCAGCAAUGCCGCGUGAGUGAAGAAGGCCUUCGGGUUGUAAAGCUCUUUUGUCAGGGAAGAAACGGUGGGAGCUAAUAUCUCCUACUAAUGACGGUACCUGAAGAAUAAGCACCGGCUAACUACGUGCCAGCAGCCGCGGUAAUACGUAGGGUGCAAGCGUUAGUCGGAAUUACUGGGCGUAAAGCGUGCGCAGGCGGUUUUGUAAGUCUGUCGUGAAAGCCCCGGGCUCAACCUGGGAAUUGCGAUGGAGACUGCAAGGCUUGAAUCUGGCAGAGGGGGGUAGAAUUCCACGUGUAGCAGUGAAAUACGUAGAGAUGUGGAGGAACACCGAUGGCGAAGGCAGCCCCCUGGGUCAAGAUUGACGCUCAUGCACGAAAGCGUGGGGAGCAAACAGGAUUAGAUACCCUGGUAGUCCACGCCCUAAACGAUGUCUACUAGUUGUCGGGUUUUAAUUAACUUGGUAACGCAGCUAACGCGUGAAGUAGACCGCCUGGGGAGUACGGUCGCAAGAUUAAAACUCAAAGGAAUCACGAA
rnacentral:rRNA from 1 species